ensembl:rRNA 5S_rRNA 5S ribosomal RNA
UCUUAGGCCCAAACCUUUAUCACAGAAAGAUAAUUUUUCGUCGGAUCUCGGAAGCUAAGCAGGGUCGGUCCUGGUUAGUACUUGGAUGGGAGACCACCUAGGAAGACCGGAUGCUAUAGGGG